UGUAAAAAAAUACGUAAACUACUCUGAAUCCCUAAAUCAAAGAUUCAGCAGAUCAUUAUCUUUCACAACCCGUUCCCUUCUCUCGAUCUAAGCCCUAUACAGACAGCUUCUCCGCUCCUCGGCUCACCGACUCACCGUCUUACCGACCGGCCGCCAGUCAUCACGUCCUCCAUCUAUCCCCUUAAUUUCUAUGGUUAUGCGAUUGCUGAAGGAAUGCCCUUGCGAGAGCAUCACUUUCCUUGCUAUGAUAUUGGUUAUGGCUGGUUCUUAUAAUGUCUCUCCUCCUUUCCCUCUCUCCUGUCUCACUUUAUUUUGUAAUUUGUGAAGGGUUUAGUUAAGAAAGAUUUACUUGUACAAAUCCUUAAAAGAGAAUCUCAAGGUAGGAUUAGAAAGUGGUUGUGGAUGAGCAGGUCGGUACCUCAAGAUAUUAUCUUCUGUAUGAUUUGACAAUGAUUGUUUUUCAAGUGUGUUGUUCAGUUGUUGUUUGGUUUAUGUUUCUGAUGGACAUAAAAACUAAGCUGCAACCUGAAGAACUACAUCCCUUGACCCAUUAGCUAAGGUCUUAAGCAGACUAGUAACCAACACUCUACUCCUACGUGCUAAUGGAAUGUUUUGGCUGCUCCUGAGCACGUUUGACGUGUCCAUACCAUCUACUCAAUGGUCUCUAGCAACAAAUGAAUGACUCAACAAGCUAUUAACCAGUAGCUCUUGCUUACAGACGCACAACACUAGCUGAUCAUACUCACACACCUGCACUUAGUGUAUCACUGAUCUGUUAGACUUGAUUGUAGAACUGGGUAUUGUCCUAACUUUUAUUAUUUAUAGUUGAAAUAUCAUCAAAUAUUAAAGAACAAGCAAAAGUGAUUUCGUGGCA